GUGAGAUACCACGGGAGUUGGGCUAUCAGCAGCCUCCAAAGUCCGUAAAGAUGUACUCUUUAUGAAGAACAGUGGUCUGGCAGUUCUUUUUCUAGCUGCUGCUUUUUCCUGAAAUGAUGACAAGAUUAGAGGUAUGCUGGGAGUAUGAUGAGCAAAAGACUCUGAAGGCUGCUACAAAGCUGGUGUGGAUAUACUACAUUGGUUUCAGUCCAGUUUUGACCAGAGGCAUGUCUACUCACAUUCAGUAAUUGGUUGAAUAAUGGGAACUCUUUUUUGAUUUCCUUACGGAGCCCGUUAGCAAAAGUUUAGAUGCAGACUCCACCUCUGAGUUUGGAGUCUGCCUGAUUAAAAUAAUUUCUCCUCCCCUUCUAACAAUCAGUAAUUGUUUAGCACUUCUGUAGUACUUCUUUAAUAACGCCACUGGUAAUAACAGCAAAUUAAAACAAUGUCAUGUAAAAUUCUCCCUGAAUUAUUUAAUUUACUGUUAGUUGGGAUGUCUUCUGUUGCAAGUGGAAAUUGCAAGGAGACACUCUAUUACUACUCUGCUGAUGUGUGUGUCAGUCGCAACACCCUUUAGAAUAACUGGGAGAAACUGAUUGUGGAUUCUUCCUUACCAUAACAAGAAAUUAUUACAACAUAACAAUGUUUGUCAGAUUAAUUUGAAAGCAGAAUUUGUUGUGAUUUAAACUGUGAAAAGAAAAAGAGCUCUGAAAAUAUUUUUUCAUACCCAUUUCUUCUAACAGCCUAAUUUCUUGUAAGGACUUCCUAAUUAAUGUAAUUUUGUGUGACUUCAUUAACUCACCAUUUCAAGAAGAUAGUCCAAUAUAUUUUCUUGAUCAUUAGUAGUAGAUAAAAAUAUUAAGCUUCUAUUGCUUUAACUGCAGCAUCAACAUCAAGCAGCUGAAUUUAAACAAAGUAAUGCAAGAGCGAGCUUAUUGCAGGUGAAGGACCUGUAGUCGAGGGACAAAAAAAUUAAAAUUUAAUACUCCAGGAACAAAACACCAAAGUUACACUUACUUUGCAUAAAAAGCUGUAAUAACCUGGUUAACAAUGACUUUGUGCAGUUCAUGUGAGAAUAUCUAAGAUUAAAAACCAAUAGUAACUAAAGCUAUGUAAAAAUUCUUAGCAAAAGCUGUUAGCAAUUUAAUCAUUCAAAUAAAGUAGCAAAUUACACCAUUUUAUAAACUGGAAUUCCUAGGAGUUUUCUCUAUUUUAGAAGACCAUCCAGUAUGCUGUAACUUUGGACAUUGUGUAUUUUAUUUUGUACUUCUCAGUUGGUAAAUGCUGACUCUUUGUUUCAAUAUAAUACACUCACAUUUUAAGAUUGUUUUUCUACGAGGAGUACAGUAUUUGGAAAGUAUGCAAUGAAUUUCAAAGCACUUCAGGAACAUGGCAUUGUCUCCAUUUGAAUUGCUGGGAAGAUUCACAUUGACUCUACUGUCAGUACACCUGGACUUUUAAUUUGGCCUAACUGUAAGGAUAUUCACAUAAAACACAGAAGUCCAGACCUUGUGGUUUGGUUCACAUAGGGAGACCCUCAUGCUUACAGAGCUCUGAUUAAGUCAACAAGGCUAGACAUCAGUACUGAUCUUGUGUGAUUGGAUUACAGGAUUGAAGCUGUGAUUUGUUCUACUAAAACCACUUUAAGUCACUUAAACAGAUAAAUCCUACUAUCAGAUUUCUUUUCUUAUUGAUUACACUUUUUGAAAUGUAAAAAAACAAACCCAAAACCUUGCUUGCUUUCUCCACAUUUUUAAUGGACUAUUUCAGCUUCUAGUUCAGCAUUUUCAUAAAGCGUAUGUAGGACUGGAAGGACAACAGAAAUAACUCUGCGGGAAAAACAGUAAAAGUGUAAUUUUCCUUUUCCAUAAGAUGGAUGUAAAACACUUGCGCUUUUUUAUUUCCUCUGAGCCCAUUUGCAGUCCU
ensembl:lncRNA